GUUUGCUUAGCCCCAAAAAAAAAUGGGAGAGAGAAGAAACAUUAUCCCCGCGAAUAAAAUGUCUCUCCGGUCGCCGCGGCUUCUCGUCCGCUCCGCUUCCGCUGGAUGCACGGACGCGCGGGCAGGGCGCCGGCGGGUCGCCGGACUGUCCUCCGUCUCUCUCCCCAUCCAAUACCGCUCGCGGCUGCUGCCGCUUCUGGCUUCUGAAUCCCGCUCGCGGGGAACUGGCGACGGAGAGUGGAGAGCCCCUCGAUUUGGGCAUUGGGGGGAUUUUUGCCCCACUAAUUUUGGCGAAAUUCAGUGAGUGAGUGGAAGUACCAUGCUGCUGGUUGCUGGCAAUCACUCGGAAAGAAGUUGUUUGUUUCUUUUACCAUAGGUAAUGGACCAAUGCGGCUAAUUAGUUUCUGAAUUAGCCUUCAUAAGAAAUAUUUGCACUCUCUGAAUUUUUACAGUGAAGAGUAUUUAUUUUGACAUGUUUCUCUUUUGGAGAAUAUGCAAUGUUGUUCUGAAAGUACUCAAAAUAUGCUGGUAAUAACAUUUUUCUUGAUUCAUCGCUUGUAUAUUAGCAAGGUCUUGUGGGAUGUUCGACACCAGCCCAUACAUAUUCACGCCUGAGUAUUAAAUUGUUGGGAACGUUUGACUAAAAUGGAUUCAGCAAAGAUAGAAUUAGGCAUAUCAAUACAGACACUGAUGCAUUUUCUGAAGAAACAAAGAAGAUACAGAAGUAUUAUGGCGCUAUUUGUGGCAGCUAGACGUAAUUGCCUGAAAUACAAGGUCACUAUGGAAGUGAACUGAUGAAGGAAGAGGGAUCCGGAGGCGUGGGGAUCUGCACUGCUCCAUCAAGCAUCUGUGUCACUUUAAGCAUGGUUGGCCGCAUAGUCGGCUCCUCCUGGAGGCACCAAAGGGCGACAGCCACGAAUCGCUCUGCCUUUUUUAUGUUGAAGUUUGCCUCAUCGUCGCCUUCCACCAGCAAGUCGAUCCUCCCAGACCUGUAACAGUCGUUUGCCC